GGAUAAGACCACGGCAGUUCAGGCUGCCGGGGUAAAAAGUGGCCUCUGCUUGCAAGCUACCACUCGAAGAUGGGCCUGCGCGCCAUUAGCUAGUUGGUGGGGUAACGGCCUACCAAGGCAAAGAUGGCUAGCUGGUCUGAGAGGAUGGCCAGCCACACUGGGACUGAGACACGGCCCAGACUCCUACGGGAGGCAGCAGUGGGGAAUAUUGCGCAAUGGGCGAAAGCCUGACGCAGCGACGCCGCGUGGGUGAUGAAGGCCUUCGGGUCGUAAAGCCCUGUCGGGAGGGACGAAACCUCGGCGGCCUAAUAUGCCGCCAACUUGACGGUACCUCUUAAGGAAGCACCGGCUAACUCCGUGCCAGCAGCCGCGGUAAUACGGAGGGUGCAAGCGUUGUUCGGGGCGUAAAGCGCGUGUAGGCGG
rnacentral:rRNA from 1 species